rnacentral:rRNA from 1 species
UACAGAGGGUGGGAGCGUUAAUCGGAAUUACUGGGCGUAAAGCGCGCGUAGGCGGCUUUGCAAGUCGGGUGUGAAAUCCCCAGGCUUAACCUGGGAACUGCAUUCGAGACUGCAUUGCUAGAGUAUGGGAGAGGGAAGUGGAAUUUCCGGUGUAGCGGUGAAAUGCGUAGAUAUCGGAAGGAACACCAGUGGCGAAGGCGGCUCACUGGACCGGAACUGACGCUGAGGCGCGAAAGCGUGGGGAGCAAACGGG